UGUCAUGUAUCAAAAGAGAUCAUUCACACACAAAACGACCCUACCAAGGUUGAAUAAAUCUGCACCUACUGAUAUGAGUGAGAUCUGAUCAAUCUAGACUUAGAAAACAAGCACAAGAACAACAGAGUAAUUUCUUUGGCACCUUCAAAACCCAUAACCAAAAACAAGAAAACUACUACAACAAAUAGAAAUAAAGCAACAUCAAUGCACGCUUUUAUCAACAGCUUGUUACGUGCUUAUGCAAUACAAAUCUAGUGAUAUUCUCAAAUGCACGUUUAUGUACUUACUUAGAAAAGUAUGUUAUAAGAAAAUUAUAAAGACAGGGAAGUUAGACAAAGCAAAACAUGAAAUUUUCAAGGAACCUAAGUAGCCCUAUCAUAUAAAAAACAAUGUCUUCCGGAGAAUAUACAGAUCAUGGUACUAUUAAAGUGCAAAACUUGUCUAUCCUAGUUCCUAGGACUGUUUUCAGAUUUUGUUCGGUCUUCAAAUCUGAAUUGUCAUCUCAUGUUAUAGCAUUAAUGUCGUCCUAGCUGUUGUAAUUUUUUCCACAUACAAAUCAUUUGUCUACGGGACUUGUAAAUUAGGAUGUGUUGCAGUGUUGGUACAUGUGUAGCUUGUGAAUUCUAUUGUUGUAAUACCAAACAUAAGAAUAUAUGUGUUGAAGUGUUGGCACUGCAAUGACUGGCUGAUUUGUUUCCUCGAUUCAUCUUCGAGCAGUUCAACAACCUGUCGCUCACCCCUGCCACAAAUCCAUAUCAUGCAAGUUAUACUCUGGUAAAUUAUUUUAAGGACCACAUGUAGUAGACACCACAAACUUAAACACAGUCCAUUAACAUGCUAAGUUAGAGAAGCUCCUCUUCCGUCGAAGGUAUCAAGGGAAAGGUUGACUAUUGCUACGGUUAAAAUAUCAAAACAUUUCAUAUAUUUUGAUUCACUGUUAUCUGGUUAUACAAGAAUCAUAGGAAGUUCUUGAGAUAUCUUUCGUAUUUUUGCAACAUCAUUGGGAAUAGAUAUCAUGCUUACAAAGGCAAUCAAUCAAGUAACUACCAAAAGAAUAGAGUGUGAAUGCUUCAUAACAAUUCCUCAAUAUGUCGCAGGCAAGGGAAAAUUUUGGGUUCCACAAGUAUACAAUCUGUAAAAGAUGAGAACCAAUUCAUUUAACUCAUGAGAAUUUGAAGUUACUUAUUUAGAAACUUUGCAUCAGCUUUAAAGAUUAAUUUACAUUGUUGCUUUAGUCAUUCAGUUUAAUCAUGUAUAUUGCAUUUAAAGAUAGUGUAUCUCGUAAAAUAGUGAAAGAUGCAGCAAGACAUUAUAAUAUUAUAUCCAAUUAGAACCUUAUCUACUUGAUACAUGUCUCAAUUUACAAUUCAGAAAUCUGAGUCCCUUUCACUGGUUUAUAUCCUUACUGAUUAAGUGGCAUAGACAGGAACCAUGAAAAUGACCCCUACGGUCCAUUUUUGUUCCUGAUAAGCAAACACAAAUUUAGAUCCUACAUUCUAAGAAAUUAAAAUAAAGAGUAGUCCAUGUAUACCUAAAUUGAGAACUCACCACCAGACUAGUAUAUUAUCUGAGAUGCUGAAAAAUUAAGAGAAGCGAUAGGAUCAAUGCUACCAAGACAAAGCAUCCCCCAAUUACGAGAGCAGGCUCGUGGAGAUCUCUAGAAAUAUUCACAUCGAAAGAGAUGUAAAAUGAUGCCAUGCCACAUGAUCUCAACCAAACCUGAAAAACAACAAUGCAAUUAACUUGGAAUGGUUAUCGCUUAACUUAAUCUACAAUAGAGGGAAAAAACAAAGGCACUUCCCUAAGCCUGGUAAUCUACUAAUCCAAAAGUAGAAUGCUAGAAGCAAGUAAAAAGUUUUCAUUAUUUGCAUUUUUUUCAGGUGUUACUAAGUCCAUGUAUUCUUAGUAAGGUAUGUUCUACAAUUGUUUGGAAAGGAGAAGCCUGAUGAAUUUUCAGCAUUUUAGGAAGGUCUAUUCUACAAUUGCACAUAACAUAGAGGACAAUUAAUGAAAUCUACUUUGCAGGAGAACCUUCAACGAUUGGGAUCUUGGCAGUCUAGAAAAGACUUAUUUCCCCCGUGACAUUUAUAUGAAGAAUCAUUCAAAUACAUGAAUCUUGAAAAAUCUCAUGCUAAGCGACUCUAAUUUUGAGCCAAAAACUAAACCUAAAAAAGAAAGUUCUUCAAUUGCUCAUCUUUUGCAUAUGCUUAUCAGAAAGUCCAGAAAUAAGCUAACAAAAUGGGUAUAUCAACAAAAGAGAAAGGUUUACUUCAAAUAAGUUAAUUCAGAUUUCUACUACAUUCCAUUUAUUUUUAAAAUAUACUAUUUCAUAAAGUGCUCGAAUACUGAGUUACAAGUCAACUUCAAAUAGUAAAAGAUUUUCAGCAGAAAAUCAACAUAGCAUUGCUAGUGUAACUAAGUAUAUUAAGAAACUAAGCAAGUACAUUGUCCAGUCAUGUAGUAACCUUGAUUUUAAAUGCUAAAGGAGGUCAUAAAGAAUCCUUAAGGUCUUCACAAGCCUACUUCAGCUCACGACAAAAAGUUUUUUUGUUUAAAUGCUACAUAUAUUACAAAAAGGAAAGCAUGAAGAUUGUGUAAAACAUUACAUCAAAAACCCAAAAGAUCUCUGACAAUGUAUACAGUAAAUUUAUGAACUAUAAUAACAUGGACUCAACUUCAUUUACAAGUUCUACUUUACACCAAAAGGAAAUCACAAAAAUACUACUCCCCCUCUAUCACAUCAAUUUAGAAUAAUCAACUCUUUUAUAAUGUUAACCGAAAAAAAGGAGAAAUAUAGUUAACAUAACUGAUCCGAUUUCUCUUAUAUUUUCCAUGCUUACUAUGAGUAACAUUAUCAUGUUUGAACUCCUAAAAUAGUGUCACAUUAAUUUUUAUAUUGGGUUAUUAGUAAAAAGUAAGCCUUGAUUCUGCAAAUUCGAGUGUUAGGUCAAAUUUAUGUAGAUUAUAGUAAAACAAGUAAUGCAACUUACUCGAGCAUCAUGAGUCAUUGAAUCUACUUUAUCAAGGAUUUUGAUCUUAAAUGGUGGGCAAUGAUAACCACUGAAAUGAGUAAGGAAGAUAUCUCAUUAAACAACAAAGUAAAAAAGAGGCUCAAAAUGCAUUAAAAAUUGAGCUAGACAAGACAUGAGUUUAACUUUGUCGAUUAAAACCAACAUGAAUAGAAGUUCUUAAUUUUUGUACGAACUACAUUGAUACAACUAUCAUCACUAGAAUUUAGCUCCAUAUUCUAAACUUAUACUACUUGGGUCUGUUAAAGAAAAAUUCACUAAAAGAUGAAAUAUAUACAUACAAAAAGUAAGGUAGAAAAAAGGAAACAAUCAAGCAGCAUAAACUCAUAAAGCCCAAGUUUGAUAAUAUGAUUUCUCUUUUGUUAGAGAAUAUUAAGAGUCGCUUGUCCAUUGGAAAAUGUAUUUAGUAAUCUCAAAAACAACACAAGAAACUCCACAAGAAUAUUCUUGUUCAGUAGAGGAUUUUACUUAUUAGAAUGUUAAAAAAAGGAAGUGCUCAUCUCUUAAACUUGUCACAUUAGUUGACAGAUUCCGGAAGAAUUCGCUACAACUAAGUGUAGGGAUUUGGACAAAAACAAUAGGCCUGUACGUUUUACAUUAGUCAAGUAUACUUCAAAAUAUUAAACAACAUAUGGAUAUAAACUCAAGAAAGUAAAUAUAUUUUCUUAUCCUAAUACAUUUAAACAACACAAUCCUAGUUGACUCUAUGAAUAAUGGAGAGAAAAUGUGUGUAGAAACAUGAAACUAGCAGCAGCUAGAAGAUAAGCUAGGCUUGAAUACAUGUACUAGAAUUUGAAGCAAGGCAGCAAGUUGUUUUAUGUCCAUUCAAUUUCUAGAAUAUAAAUAGUAUAAAGAAAAUAUAUGUCCAGCUUAUUCCUCUUUACACUUUGAAUUUCAAAAAGAACGAAAUUGUUUUUCAUUGCUAAACUAGAAACAAUGUAAGAUAGAAAUUCCUAGACCAAAUCGGAUUUCAACUAACAUUAUAGGUCAUUAGGUGGCUGGAAGACAUUUACAGAAAUCAGAUUUUUAUAGACUUAUUUCAUAAUCAAUUUCAUCACACUACAAUUUGCUAUAUGAAAUUGACAUCAAAAAGUACUUUCUUGGCUAAAAUAUAAAUUGACUUUCAGGAACAAGAUCUAUAGAAUCAAUAAUCAAUCGACAAUACAAAAAAAUUCUUAAUUAAAUUAACAUCAAGUAGAGAAACCCCCAAGUAAAAUCCAGAUGUUACAUAAACAUACCUGAGAAGUGGGUACAAAAAAGAACCCUAAAGGGUCGUCAUCUUCCCAUUCAAGGAGGACCAUAAGACAAUAUAGUCGGGUACUGUAAGAAAAACGAAAUGAACAAAUAUUCAUCUCAAACACAUUAGCAACCAAAACUGAACCAUAAAAGUGUCUAAAUAUUUUUCAAAAUAUUACGAGCAAUUAACAUAGAAAUGGAUUGUUCUAUCCAACGGCAUAAGUAUGAGCAGAAACCGAAGAGAAAAUUGUGAGCAGAAACUUCACUGAACCUCCGUAUGUGAUUUGGGCACUCUUUUCUUAGAUUGAUCUGGGAAGAGUUGCUCCUACCAGAGCUCUCUAAAUUGGGACAAAGAGAAGCUUUUACCUGAGUUCUUGUAGAUUCUUCGAUUCCUCCAGAUCUGGAAUUCUUCGAAUUAUUUCUUUAGUCUCUCCCAUAAAGGUGAAGCACGAUUAAGGAAAUCACAACCAAACAUCGACAAAGUUACAAUGGAGACUUUUUGGGGUGGAAAUGAGAAGGAGAGAAAGUAGGGUUUAAUUUUUGAGUAGUGAUAUAGGCAAAGAGUAACUAGGAGAGCAUUUUAAUUUGGGGAAAAACGUUUUUAGAGUUAUGUUUAUAUUGAGGUUAUUAUUUACCAAUUAGAAAUUGGAGGGAGAGUUAAAUAUAUUGGGGGAAUAC
rnacentral:lncRNA from 1 species